UACGUAGGGUGCAAGCGUUGUCCGGAAUUAUUGGGCGUAAAGAGCUCGUAGGCGGUUUGUCGCGUCGAAUGUGAAAACCCGGGGCUCAACCCCGGGCCUGCAUUCGAUACGGGCAGACUUGAGUUCGGUAGGGGAGACUGGAAUUCCUGGUGUAGCGGUGAAAUGCGCAGAUAUCAGGAGGAACACCGGUGGCGAAGGCGGGUCUCUGGGCCGAUACUGACGCUGAGGAGCGAAAGCGUGGGGAGCGAACAGG
rnacentral:rRNA from 1 species